UAAGCACGAAACUUGCCCCGAGAUGAGUUCUCCCUGACCCUUUAAGGGUCCUGAAGGAACGUUGAAGACGACGACGUUGAUAGGCCGGGUGUGUAAGCGCAGCGAUGCGUUGAGCUAACCGGUACUAAUGAACCGUGAGGCUUAACCUUACAACGCCGAAGGUGUUU
rnacentral:rRNA from 1 species